rnacentral:rRNA from 1 species
UACGAAAGGUGCAAGCGUUAAUCGGAAUUACUGGGCGUAAAGCGCGCGUAGGCGGUGUGUUAAGUCGGAUGUGAAAGCCCAGGGCUCAACCUUGGAACUGCAUCCGAUACUGGCACGCUAGAGUGCAGUAGAGGGAGGUGGAAUUUCCGGUGUAGCGGUGAAAUGCGUAGAGAUCGGAAGGAACACCAGUGGCGAAGGCGGCCUCCUGGACUGACACUGACGCUGAGGUGCGAAAGCGUGGGGAGCAAACAGG